GCGAGCUCCGCGCCCGGGCGCGGCGAGGCGGGGUCUGACGGGCAUGGCAGGCGCUCGCUCGCUCCUCUCCAGCUCUCUCGCUCGCUCCCUCACACACGCGCGGAGGGAGGCAAAGCCCGCAGCAGCCACUUCCCAACUUUCCAAACAUCCCAGCGCAACUUUUUCCUCUCCUCCCCUGCCCGUGCCUCCUCCCCCCAUGCCUCCCCCUUCCCCUGGCCCGGGGUCCGCAGGGCCGUAGGUUCCGCGAGCCGCCGCCAGAGGGCGCCCGGCUGCGGCCCCGCUCCACCAAUCUCUGCUAGGCGAUGGACAGGGACCGGCUGCAAAUUUGAGGAAAAGGACCGGCAUCGUCUAACUCAUCUCAGGCACAGAUCCUGGCGGGCGUGAACAGCGAGAGGAGCAGAAGUGGAAAGAAACAUCAGUGUUCUGACCUGGGCCACACUGGUCAGCCCCCAGCACUGACCGCUGAUCCAGCCUGAGCCUUUAUUCUGGACCACUGACCCAGACUGCACUCUGCCCCAUAGACUAGAUAUCUAACUCCAUCCAACCAUCUCCCUUUGUUCAGAGACCUUGGGACAGACCACAGGUGACUUGAUAGGAUCCAUCUCUACAGCUGGAAAGAAAACUCGAAGCAAAGUAAGGUUCAAUAGCACCAGGACCGACCAACAGAUGAGGGCUGCCUUCACGACUAUGCCAGCAAGGGGCAUUCCCAGGACCUGCUGGAGAAGGGGUUCGUAGAAUCCCCUGUGAGGAGUGUCUUAACAGGAGGGCGCCAAGAACAGGAGGCUAUCAAAAUGGGCGAAAAGUUGGGAUUCAUUAGUAUGAGAGGCCCAGGCUGAGGUAGGAUGGAGAAAUUACUGGGGUUGUCAACAAGGAUUCAAGCAAAGCUAAGUGAAGUGUAAGUGGGUUAAGUGGGAUAAUUGGUGGUUCAACUCAAUCUAGGAAUGCUGAGUGCUUGCCAGCUUUUUCCUUUUAUAUGGGCCCUUGCAGGACCAAUGUGGUCUGUGCAAGUAGAUUUAUACAUUUAUACGGUGAUUAUGAGUUUAUCACUUUAAAAUACAUGCUGUAUAAGAAGAGGCUUCACAACCUCCCAGCUUAAGCCCUCCAGACCUCAGUUUCCUCAUCUGUGAAGUGAGAACAGUAGUAAUGCACAGCUCAUAGGUUUGUUGUGGGAUCAAGGUGAUGGGUGUGAAACCACUCUGUACUGUAUAAGGCCAGGAAUAUUACUUUUAUGAUCAUUAGUAAUAAUGCUAAUAAGUGACCUCUAAAGUAUCUCCACUCCCAGAAUAAAUGUUUUCAUGUUCUUCUAAAAAGUUAUAAAAGAACACUGUCAUCUGCAACACAGGUGCCCUAUGGAAGAAGUCAGAGCAUCUACUGCGUGGUGGCAUCCAGGGCCACUGCACUGAGCAUUUGGGCAGGUCGAGCCUUGCACACAGUGCUCUGCUGAGGAGGUGAGCAGGCAGUGAACUCCAGCCAGUGGCAAGGGGCUGUGUCUGUGUUUGAGGCCAAGAAGCACUGUACAGGCUGGCAGCGGCUCUGAUGGCCACCAGCACGCUUCCCUAAAUACUUAGGCUUGCUGGGCCUGUGCUUACUGAAUCUGCUAGUGGGGAGUCAGCUGGCUUGCUGUCUUCAGCUGCUGAAGUCUUCAUGAUGACCUUCCAAUCUGUAUCUCCAGAUACGUGUGGCCUCUCCUCUACUUGAAUGCCCUGCUUUCCUCUUAAACUCAUCAUAUCCUCAUUCAAACCUGUGUUUUUCUCAGUUCACAAUUUGAGCUGGAUCCUCUAGUUCUCACAUUUUGUGUUUGAAUCCCUUUAUGUGGAUGCUACUUAUGACAUUUAAUGACAAGAAGAUCACUACUAUCUGAGGGAGCCAACUCCGCUUUUAAGCAACUCUUAACAUUUAGAAACUUCUAUAUAUUGAGCCUACAAUCUGCCUACAUGUGCCUUAUAAUCACUAAUUGCUGGUUCCUACCCUUGGGAUCACAUAGAGCAAGUCUCCAUUUUCUUCAUGACAGCUAUUCAUAGAUUCACAGGGACCAGGUUAUCUUAUGUCUUAUGGUUCUUUCUUCUAUUCCUUAUAUAAGAGAUUUUGCUUCUUUCUACUCUCCUGAUCAUCAUUUUAAAACUUGCUUGUGUCUAGAAAUGGCAUCAAAGUUCUACAGCUUUUCAUUCAUUGAUUUUCUAAUUCAUUCAUCCAACUAGGUGGUGUAAGUUUUCCAAUUUUGUUCUUCAUUUUCAAAUUCAUGUCAUUUGCAUUUUCAUACAAAUUUUAGAAUCAGUUGGUCAAUUUUUGCACAAAAGCAUGUAGAGAUUUUGACUGAGAUUGCAAUGACUAUUCAGAUCAAUCAAGGGAGAAUUUACAUCUUAAUAAUACAGUGUUAUGACCCAUAAGAGUGGGUUAUCUUUCAUUAAAUUUUCUUUAACUUCUCCCAGCAAUAUUUUGAGGUUUUCUGUGUGUAUAACCUGCACACCUUUUGUAAAUUUUUUCCUAAGUAUUUCAUAAUUGCUGGUGCUCUUAUAAAUAGCAUUUAAAAUUUUUCAAUUUAUGACUGUACUACUCAAGUAUAUAAAAUACAAUUGGAUUUUGCUCUUGUUUCCCAUAACCUCACAUUUUCUGUAUCUAUCAAAAUGACCAUAUGGAUCUGUAAUGAUAUCCCCCCUCUCAUUCAUGUUAUUGGUAAUGUAAUGUGUAUUUUUCAUGUGUACGUGUUCCUGCAAAUAUAUGCUACUGUUUUGUAUGCAUGUAUUUUUAAUUCAUAUAAAUGGAUUGUGUUAUUAA